GGGUGGAAAGGAGCUGCCCUUGUUCCCCCUCCAGGAAGGAGAUCCGGCCCUUUGGACAUCGCCAAGAGAUUGAAGGAGGAUGACGCUCAACAUCUGGAGGGGUCUGCUGGCUGUGACCCUCCUGGCAGGCCCUGGAGCAGCUCAGAGUUGCAGGACCCUACCUAUAGGUAAGAACAGGGAGAAAUAAUUUGGCCUUAGGGAAGCCGGCCAGCCAGUCUUCCAUCCAUCACCAUGACAUCGUUGGGUCAGCAGACAAAGCGGUGGACGGGAACUGCAACGGGGACUGGUACAACAACU